UACAGAGGGUGCAAACGUUGUUCGGAUUUACUGGGCGUAAAGCGCGUGUAGGCCGCUCUGCAAGUCGGAUGUGAAAGCCCUGGGCUUAACCUAGGAAGUGCACUCGAAACUGCAGAGCUUGAAUCCUGGAGAGGAAGGCGGAAUUCUCGGUGUAGAGGUGAAAUUCGUAGAUAUCGAGAGGAACACCGGUGGCGAAGGCGGCCUUCUGGACAGUGAUUGACGCUGAGACGCGAAAGCGUGGGGAGCAAACAGG
rnacentral:rRNA from 1 species